rnacentral:rRNA from 1 species
GAUGAACGCUAGCGGCAGGCUUAACACAUGCAAGUCGAGGGGUAUUUAUCUUCGGAUAGAGAGACCGGCGCACGGGUGCGUAACGCGUAUGCAAUCUACCUUUUACAUAGGGAUAGCCCAGAGAAAUUUGGAUUAAUACCUCAUAGUAUAUAGACUCGGCAUCGAGAUUAUAUUAAAGUCACAACGGUAAAAGAUGAGCAUGCGUCCCAUUAGCUAGUUGGUAAGGUAACGGCUUACCAAGGCUACGAUGGGUAGGGGUCCUGAGAGGGAGAUCCCCCACACGGGGACGGAGACCCGGACCAGACUACUACGGGAGGCAGCAGUGAGGAAUAUAGGACAAUGGGAGCAAGCCUGAUCCAGCCAUGCCGCGUGCAGGAGGACGGUCCUAUGGAUUGUAAACUGCCUUUAUACGAGAAGAAACACUGCUACGUGUAGCAGCUUGACGGUAUCGUAAGAAUAAGGAUCGGCUAACUACGUG